rnacentral:rRNA from 1 species
CGGACGGGUGAGUAACACGUAGGCAACCUGCCCUCGAGACUGGGAUAACUACCGGAAACGGUAGCUAAUACCGGAUAAUUUAUUUCACAGCAUUGUGGAAUAAUGAAAGACGGAGCAAUCUGUCACUUGGGGAUGGGCCUGCGGCGCAUUAGCUAGUUGGUGGGGUAAUGGCUCACCAAGGCGACGAUGCGUAGCCGACCUGAGAGGGUGAACGGCCACACUGGGACUGAGACACGGCCCAGACUCCUACGGGAGGCAGCAGUAGGGAAUCUUCCGCAAUGGGCGAAAGCCUGACGGAGCAACGCCGCGUGAGUGAUGAAGGUUUUCGGAUCGUAAAGCUCUGUUGCCAAGGAAGAACGUCUUCUAGAGUAACUGCUAGGAGAGUGACGGUACUUGAGAAGAAAGCCCCGGCUAACUACGUGCCAGCAGCCGCGGUAAUACGUAGGGGGCAAGCGUUGUCCGGAAUUAUUGGGCGUAAAGCGCGCGCAGGCGGUUCUUUAAGUCUGGUGUUUAAACCCGAGGCUCAACUUCGGGUCGCACUGGAAACUGGGGGACUUGAGUGCAGAAGAGGAGAGUGGAAUUCCACGUGUAGCGGUGAAAUGCGUAGAUAUGUGGAGGAACACCAGUGGCGAAGGCGACUCUCUGGGCUGUAACUGACGCUGAGGCGCGAAAGCGUGGGGAGCAAACAGGAUUAGAUACC